rnacentral:rRNA from 1 species
ACCAGACUCCUACGGGAGGCAGCAGUGGGGGAUAUUGCACAAUGGGGGGAACCCUGAUGCAGCGACGCCGCGUGGGUGAAGAAGCGCCUCGGCGCGUAAAGCCCUGUCAGCAGGGAAGAAAAUGACGGUACCUGAAGAAGAAGCCCCGGCUAACUACGUGCCAGCAGCCGCGGUAAUACGCAGGGGGCAAGCGUUAUCCGGAUUUACUGGGUGUAAAGGGGGCGCAGGCGGCGAUGCAAGCCAGGAGUGAAAGCCCGGGGCCCAACCCCGGGACUGCUCUUGGAACUGCGUGGCUGGAGUGCAGGAGGGGCAGGCGGAAUUCCUGGUGUAGCGGUGAAAUGCGUAGAUAUCAGGAGGAACACCGGUGGCGAAGGCGGCCUGCUGGACUGCAACUGACGUUGAGGCCCGAAAGCGUGGGGAGCAAACAGGAUUAGAUCCCCCUGUA